UUUUUUUUUGACUAAAUUAUAAAAAACCCUUCGUAUAAACGUCCGUCUUUUCACUUUUCUCUCCUAACUUUCAAAAACCUACAUUUUACCUCCUAAAUAUUUAAAAUUGUUGUAUUUAGCCGCACACCCCCCCCUCCCUUUUCGUUAGGAUAACAUCACCAUUCCGUCCUUUUCUAAUUUAAACCGAAAAAAUAUUUUUUUAUUAAAAAAUAAGAGUAUUUUGAUUAUUUUGUCCUCUCCGUUAACGUUGUAUCCUCUAAAAAUAUUUCUGAAACUUUAAGGGGAUAAAAUAUAGAUUUUUGAAAGUCAAGAAGAAAGUUAAAAAGCGAGUAUUUACGAGGAGGUUUCUGUAAUUUAACCUUUUUAUUUUUGAAUCUCUACACUUAGUUUAGCUCUUUAAUUUUAUCAAAUUUAAUA
rnacentral:lncRNA from 1 species